AUCCAUAAAAAAAAAUCAUUAUUUUCGAAAAAUAACAGAAUGAAUAACUGGAAAAAAAAUCUUAGGAAAAAAUAUCCCAUCCUGAAAAUAAUUCCCCUGAAAGUAAUUCCCCUGAAAAUAAUUCCCCGGAAAAAAUGAGCAGAUCCGGGUCAAAAAAUGAUAUGAAUUUAUGCCGGGCCAAAAUAAAAAAUCUGAGCUGGUCAUAAUAUUUUGCAUAGUAUCAGAGAGACUAGGUGUUGAUAUGAACUUUAACUAUUACAUGGACAAAAAACAUGCAAACAUUGAUGUUAUAUAAUGUUGAUCUAAGGUAGAAUUAAUAAUUUUUCAAAUAUAUUUUAAUUUAUA